AAGUGGACUCGUCUCUUUCUCCCCGGCCGGGCCUGCGGCCUGCCUUCCACGAUCGAUCCGCCCCUCCCCCCUCCCUUCCUAUUUGAAAGGAAUUCUCCUCGCCGCACCCAAAUCUCCCCCGCAUUCGAUUCGAUUCGAUUCGAUUCACCCAUCCAAUCCCCUACCCCAAAACCUCCGCCAACAAACAAACCCUAGCGAGCGAUCGCCAUGGACUUGGACCAGGACUCCGCCGACGAAUGGGUCGUCCUCGACUCGUGCACCUCCGACGACGACGACGACCUCGUUCUCGCGCUCUCCUCCGGCUGCGGCACCCCGGACUCGGCCACCGACUCCGACUCCGACUCCGCCGCUCCCGCCGCCCACCUCCUCGCCGCCGCCUGCGCCACCGCCGCCGACGACGCCGACGCCGACGCCGAGGGCGUCUACGCGCUCUCCGACGCCGAGGACGAGUACGCCUACCCGCCCCCGUCCCCGCCGCUGCCCCGGCCGCUCGCGGGCCUCUUCCACCACACGCUCGCCGGGGCCGUCAGCUACGCCGCCUUCGACCCCGCCGCGCCCGGGGACGCCCACCACGGCGCCAAGCAGCUCGUCCCGGACCCCACCUUCGCCUCCCUCAUCCACGAGGACGCCGCCGCGCUCGCCUCCACCCGCGGCCUCGUCUGCCUCCGCGGCAAGGCCUCCGGGGACUACUACGUCGCCAACCCGCGGGCCUUCACGACCGCGCGCCUCCCGCCCCCCGCGCGAGACCACUUCGCCAAGGGGGACCCCGCCGUCGUCAUCACCUUCGACGUCGACGCCGACGCCGACGACGCCGACGAGGACCGCGCCCGCGGCUUCUACCGCCACUACCACGUCGCCGUCGCCUUCCCCAUGGGGGAGGGCAUCUACGCCUUCGAGUCCUUCUCGUCCAGGACCGGGGAGUGGACCAUCGGCGCCGGGGUCGCCGCGGUCGAGACCGUCGUCCCGUUGUCCGGGGUCGCCGCGCACGGAUGCGCCUUCUGGCGCACCACCAUCGGACUCUUCCUCUGCUACGAGCCCGUCUCGGGAUGGUCGGACCUCGUCCCCGCGCCCGAGGAGGUGCAGCAGUGGCCCAUCUGGGAGCUCGGCGAGAUGGAGGGCACGCUCCGCGCCAUCUGCAUGGACGAACGCGUCAGCGCGGUCAUCGUCAUCCGCCUCGACUUCGCGCGCAGCGACGCCAACGGCGGCGUCGCGUGCACUCUGGCGGGCCACUUCGAGGGGGGCUGCCUCAGGGGACGCCAGGACGUCACGCUGCUGCGCUCGCAGGGCAAGGCCGAGGUCGUCAUGUGGGACCGCGCGGCACAGAUGGUCGUCGCCAUGGACCUCGAAGGACGCACCACGCGCACCAUCAGCUUCGUCCCCGGCACCGGCUACUACGCCGAUUUCAUCCCCUACGUCAGCUCAUUGGCCGCGGUCUCUGCCACCGGGUAAAGCAAUUCCAGCAAUCGGAUGCAACCUAAGUGUAGGACUAAUGCAACUAAUGAAGCUGGUGCUGAGGCUACUACUGAUGCUGAGCCGUAUUAGAGUAGUAAUAGCUAAAUCUGUACAAAAGCUGGAAUGAUUCAUUUUGAUGAUACGAAGGAAUAAUGAAAGCUUCCAGAGGUGUGCAGCAUAAGGGAAAGCGAAAAGCAGCAUUCUUUGAAGCGCAGUUUAGCCUGCUAGUAUCUCCAUCUUUUGCAGUGUCUCAAGUUGUGGUACAAACCAUGUACUAGCUCCUUUUAGUGUACAAAUGUAGGGAAAGGCCACUAUCCGGUUCCGUCUAAUAGUCAGUCCAAACUCCAAACUGGUUUAGCGAGUAGACGUUCUCUAGCCGUUUGACGUUCCUGAAUGAGAACUACGAUCUGGUACUUUUGAUGUGGUUUC